rnacentral:snRNA from 1 species
CUGCUUACUGUGGCAGCACAUGUACUAAAACUGGAACUGUACAGAGCAGAUUAGCAUGGCCCCUGUACAAGGAUGAUAUGCAAAUUCAUAAGGCACUCCAUAUUUUU